ensembl:lncRNA
AACAAGUCAUAAUACUGUGUUGUUGUUUUUUUUGCAGUGUACACUUUGAUGCAUAAUUUAUCUUACAGAAUUUGUGCUGCAGACGUGAAUGAUGCCUCAGAUCGUACAGUUUGUUGCUGAGAGAUGUGCUAAUGCUUUGCUUGAAUUAAUAAUGGGCACAAAAUACUCUAAAAUAUCAGCAAAGCACCAAAAACACUGAGCAAACACUUCCUUAGAACAUUUUAAAAUCAAGUUAAUGUGAUCAGCCUUGUAAAUAUAAAGUGAAAAAACAAUGUCAUAAAUGCUCAUUUAAACAGACAGCACAAAACGAUCCCCCAAGGCUGAUACCAAACAACGUGACCUCCGGGGCUAAACUCAAUGGUGUUAAACCCCACCCACAUCUUCUGUAGUCGCCAUGGCGAUUCCCACUGCUCAUUAUGGCUACUCAAUUAAAGAGAGAGCAGCAGGUGUUUCCUCAGGAGCCAUCCAGAGUCUGAUUAUCCCAACCUUUUCCGGCAAAAAGAGGUGAGGAGGGAGGGCCUGUGGAGAUGGAGCCGUAUCCGACAGAGAGGAACGACACAACACACACCCUAAUCCUCACACACUCCACGGGAACACAGAAGCCUGGAAGAUCACAAGAUAAACUGGCAUCUGCUUCACAAACAACAGAAGCACACCUAAGAGCCAAAGACAAGAAUAGCCAUCAGGUCUGUUGGUGAACUUGGCAAAAGAGCAAGCAUCGUGCCCUCUACUAUCUCUUUCAUCCGUAUCUCCAGCCAUGAGAGAAAGGUGUCGGCUGAACUGUGCCAAAAAACAUGGCUAGAGGUCAAUGGCAAUGAGCCAUUCUUACAAUAACAGAAAACACUUAUCAGACAGAACUGAUGAACAGAAAACCCCCAUAAAUUCAUCCUGCAAGAUGAAGAGGGAGGGAAUGACAUAAACUAGACCAACCAUCAACCUACAUUCUCAUUAACCUAGAUGAGCCAUGGAGGAGAAAAAUGGCUCUUGAAGGACUACUGCAUUUUUUAUUCCACCUAUUCCAGUGGAAACAGUGAUGCUCUUAAACUGGAACUGCUCUGCAGCCAUUCAAGCAUUCAGUUCCAGCGCUGACCCAGAAAUGAAGACAAUAAAAG